UACGUAUGGGGCGAGCGUUGUUCGGAGUUAUUGGGCGUAAAGGGCGUGUAGGCGGCUCAUCAAGUCUGGUGUGAAACCCCUGGGCCUAACCCGGGGCAUGCGCUGGAAACUGGUGGGCUUGAGUUCUGGAGGGGAAGCUGGAAUUCCAGGUGUAGGGGUGAAAUCUGUAGAUAUCUGGAAGAACACCGGUGGCGAAGGCGAGCUUCUAUCCGCGGACUGACGCUGAGGCGCGAAAGCGUGGGGAGCAAACAGG
rnacentral:rRNA from 1 species